UUCAUCCUGCAACCACAAGAGCUUAAUCACAUCAUUCCCCUAGGGUUUCCAACCUUCUGAUUCCAAAUCCUAGCUCAAAAACCCAUAAAACUCAUCUAACCCUUUGAAUCAAGCACUCAGAAACCUAAACCCUAACUUUCAAGCUUAAAAAAUUUCCCAAACCAUCACAUAAACAAGGAAAUCAAUAAAGGGACAAGGCUUAAAAGCAAUAAACUGCAAUACUUAAUCAAGGAAAACGCAAAAAGAAAUAAAGAAAGUAAUGAUCCGGGUUUCCCCGGAGUGAACAUUUCAUUAGAUUAAUCAUAGUGGUAAUUUCAAGAUGGUUUGAAGCCUUGACAUGCUUGGAAACUUAUAGCAUUAGGCCUCAAUUUUAUAUCAAUUAGGAUUAGUUCAAAUGUAUAGGUAAAAUGUUAAAUGUACCAUAACAAAAAAUGUGAUUUUAAUUGUGAAUGUCAAGUUUUUUUUGUAACUUUCAUGGAUACAAUGUAAUAUUAAUAACAUUUGAAAUAAUGCUCAAUGAAAAAUGAAUGUUUAUGCUUUA